rnacentral:rRNA from 14 species
UAGUGACAGUUUUUCAAAAACUUUUUCUUUUGUUUACCAAAAUUAUCGUUCUAAAAGCAUUUGACUGACCAGUGUCGGCUAAGGUAACUUACUUGCUACUAAAGUUAUAGUCCUAUCUCCAGACAAACGUCAGCCGAAUCUAUGACGGUUCUAAGGUAGCUUAAUUCCUUGUCGGUUAGUUUCCGACCUGCAUCAAAGUUUGAACAAUUUACCUUAUGUCACACUUUAUUAUUGUGGAAUUUGUCUCUGUUGUCAGGAUCCAGCAGUUCAGUCAAAAGACAAAAAGACCCUAUGAACCCUUUUAGUAUC